rnacentral:rRNA from 1 species
AUACGUAGGUGGCAAGCGUUGUCCGGAAUUACUGGGCGUAAAGGGCGAGUAGGCGGCCAGUUGUGUCAGAUGUGAAAGGCUAGGGCUCAACCCUAACAGUGCAUUUGAAACUGACUGGCUUGAGUGUAGGAGAGGGAAGCGGAAUUCCUAAUGUAGCGGUGAAAUGCGUAGAUAUUAGGAGGAACACCAGUGGCGAAGGCGGCUUCCUGGCCUAUAACUGACGCUGAUGCGCGAAAGCGUGGGGAGCAAACAGGAUUAGAUACCCUGGUAGUCCACGCCGUAAACGAUGGGUGCUAGGUGUGGGAGGUAUCGACCCCUUCCGUGCCAUAGCUAACGCAAUAAGCACCCCGCCUGGGGAGUACGGUCGCAAGACUGAA